UAGAAACCAGAUUAUUGUCCUCUGCAGUAAACUGGACCUUAUGUUUUUUGUUGCUAUUAUUUGUUUAGAAGCUGAGGUUCUUAAGGAGAAGAAAGCUGAGCCAGUGACUCCCAAAAAAGGUAUCCUUUUAGCUUUUCACCUCUUUCACAGGUCUUAUUUUUCUUUUAAUUAUCUAACAUGUAGAACAGCAGUAUUUCAGUGGUUUCUCACCUUUUUAUAAAUAUGAUUCAAUUUAAUUGGGGCAUUUAUUAUUCUAGCAGCUGUUACCAAGACAAAACCAUCACCUGCUAAAAAGAAGAAAGGUAUACAGCAGAAUCGUGUGUUGUUUUGCUGUAGAAACAUCACACGCAGCACUGUGCUGAUAUUAAUCCUGUCACAUUCAAGCCACGUCACAUCACUGACAUGUAGCUGCUGACGAUAUGCGUCGCUGCCACGUGAUAAUGACCCAACUAAAAGUAUCAUAAUCUGUUUUUAUUUUGCUUAAAUUAUUAUGUUACCGCUGAGUUUUGUCCUUUUCAAGUUGGUCAUUUUCAUGUUUCAGCAUUCCUCAAUACAUGCUUGAUUGACAUACUAAGUAUGAAUGCUGUUUCACAGUGUCUUAUUUUCUGCAAGACUGAACCUAAAAUGUCUUUACUUAGAGCCAGCUCCCAUUAAGACAAAACCAGCCCCAGCUAAAGGUAAGACCAGACUUAACUUUGUUAAUCAUAAUUUUAAAAUGUACUCAAGCUUUUGAUUUUCACACUCUUUUCUCUGUUACAGAGGCAGAAGCACCACACAAAAAUGUUACUCUAACAAAGGAGAAGGUGAAGGUGGUGCCACUGAAGAAAGUGCCUGUAACUCCAAAAGUAAGAGCCAAACCAGAACCAACCAAAAAAGAAGCUGAGGUUCUUAAGGAGAAGAAAGCUGAGCCAGUGACUCCCAAAAAAGGUAUCCUUUUAGCUUUUCACCUCUUUCACAGGUCUUAUUUUUCUUUUAAUUAUCUAACACAUAGAACAGCAGUAUUUCAGUGGUUUCUCACCUUUUUAUAA
rnacentral:lncRNA from 1 species